rnacentral:rRNA from 1 species
GAAUAUUGGACAAUGGGCGAAAGCCUGAUCCAGCGACGCCGCGUGUGUGAAGAAGGCCUGCGGGUUGUAAAGCACUUUCGAUGGGAACGAAAUGUGUCGGGGUAAUACCCCGGCAAGCUGACGUUACUCACUGAAGAACCACCGGCUAACUCUGUGCCAGCAGCCGCGGUAAGACAGAGGGUGCGAGCGUUAAUCGGAAUUACUGGGCGUAAAGCGCACGUAGGUGGCGACGUAAGUCGGGUGUGAAAGCCCCGGGCUCAACCUGGGAAUUGCAUUCGAGACUGCAUUGCUGGAGUACGGAAGAGGAGGGCGGAAUUCCCGGUGUAGCGGUGAAAUGCGUAGAUAUCGGGAGGAACAUCAGUGGCGAAGGCGGCCCUCUGGUCCAGUACUGACACUCAAGUGCGAAAGCGUGGGGAGCAAACAGGA